AAUAAUAGGGUGUGGUGUUUAAAGUUGGUUCGACCAGCAGGUGUUUCGCAUAUGUAACCUUCGCAAUUCCCUUAAUCGAAAAGUGUGGUAACAUCCGGGAGUACGAUAUCUUAGCGAACGGAUAGAAAAUCCAGUAUUUUUCGAACACUAAUUCGUAUUUUACUAUGAUUAUAUAGAUGUAUAAUUUUAAAUGGUUAUAAUAUCAGAGGGGCGCCGCACUUCCAUUUAUCUAUUUCUUAAGGGAUUCAGGUAAGGGGGAUGUAUAACCCUAAACAUUUGAAAAAUUCCUUUGCAGUGUAUUUUAUUAUUAUGCACUUAUUCUAAAAGCAGAAAAAGAAAUUUAUCGAGCAAUUAAUACGCUGUUGACUCAGAAAUGUCUUGUGAUUUUCAAAGGUUUGUCCAACGAAGGAGUAUCGAAACAGAGUUCUCCGAAUGGCUUAGUAGAAACUUCAUGUAUAUUUAUUUUAGCCUACAUAUACAAAAGAAAUUAAAGCACAUUACAACGUAAUUUCGGAGAGCUCAAGCUAUGAGAUUUUCGACUGUUUAGUUUCGAGGAAUACCUAGAUAGUACCGAAAAAUGCUACACUCUUUUUUUAUAAACAUUUAUCAAAUAAUUUUUAAUGCGUUGGCUGAUGCCUUAACCAAAGGUCAUACUAAAUUUACCAGAAAAGUUUCUUUUUCUUUAAUAAAUCAAUUGUAGUGUUUGAAUGAAUGAGCUUUAGUAGGAUGUCCACUGGUCAAUUAAAAUUGUAACUUACUGACAUACAUUAGCAAAUUUGGGCACAAUUUCUAAUUGUUAUUUGCUUCUCAUGGUUUCUGAUAUGCGUUUGAUGCAAAAUACUCGGGAUUUUUGUAUUUCGGCUGAUUUAAUUUUAAUUUUAAUUUUUUUUUAUUUAAGUCUCUCUAUACUCAUUACUGUGGUCAAUUAUAUUCCUUGAGUUUAUUAAAUCUUUUAUUUACAGAGUACAAUUAAUUAAAAUGGAGCCAAAAAAAUAACCCUUGUUAAAAAUUUUUUUAAACUGUUAAUUCCCUCCCCAAAAAAAAGAUUUAAAAGGAAAAUGAUUAAAAAAAACGAGAAAUAAAAUUUCAUGUAAAAAGAUAACUUUGUAUAGUAAUUUAUAUAAUAAGAGCUAGUUUGUCAUAGUUCACUGCUAUUGUUUAUUAUUAUUUUUUUUCAUAGCACAGUAUUUCAAAUUAAAUAUCGUAAAAGACCAUCAGAAAUUACAAACAAAAUAAGAAAA
rnacentral:misc_RNA from 1 species